rnacentral:lncRNA from 1 species
CCUCUGUUUUUGCAUUUUAAAACACUGUAUGGAUAAGCUAAAUAUUUAUCUCUUCAUAAAACCUAGAUGACUCACACUACAGAAAAUGAGCUGUGUGAUUUGCACUUCUGGUUUGCCAGCUGGGACCCAGCCCAGAUCAUUUGUCUGCAUCAGGUGCUAUCAGCAGGUGUGUGCAGAAGCAGAGCGAGGAAGAGUAAAAUUUCCUGAAAAAUCUGAUGAACACCUGGAGGACUCGCUAAGAAUUGCAGCCAAUUCCAUUGAACCAGACCAACGCAUUAGUUUCACAAAAACAAGCCCAGGACAAUUCCUCUUCACUCAAAGCAGCCCAGACAAGCCUAAAUGUUGGACACACGUGUUAUUGAAUUUCUGCUUGCUUCUAUUGCAACUGGCAAGCUCAGAAAGCCAACUGUAUCCUGAGUUGCAUCAAAAUAAGCUUGAUCAGCACGUCAAGGAAGGUGAUCCUGCUCCUCUGCUCUGCACUGGUGAGGCCUCACCUGGAGUAUUGCAUCUAGAUGUGGAGUCCUCUGUACAGAAGAGACAUGGACCGAUUGGGGAGCAUCCAGAGGAGGGCCACAAAAAUGAUCGAAGGGCUGGAACACCUCUCCCGUGAGGACAGACUGAGAGAGUUGGGGCUGUUCAGCCUAGAGAAGAAAAGGCUGCAAGAUGGUGCUUGGAGAAUUUUCUGCUACUGAAAACAGACUUCUCUUCCUCUUGGCUGCCGUACAUCCUUGCACCACACCUGGGAGUGACGUUGAUCACAUUCCCGUCUCCUGGCUGUGGAUCUGAAUGUUCCACCGUGUUAUCAUAAUGUGGACACUCAACUCAAGUCCCUGAGGUGAUAUUCUCCCCUUUCUCUUGGACAUAAGCAACAUGCCGUCAUUGAACUCUAGCAUCCUUUCUGUGUUUCACCCUUUCCCAAUCUGUCAAAAGUGGUCUCUGCGGUCUUAUGGAGAAAAGAGGAAGAAAAAAAUGGAAACUGCUCGGGAAAGUAGUGAGUAAUUUCCUGAUUUAAUAAAUAAAACUUGCGAAUCCUGCUGCUAUUUUGUGCUGCUAUGCUUUGUUACUAUUUGUGAGUAGAAAAACUACAGUAUUUUUAGAAAGAAAUGAGGAACAAGGAUCCAAAUUUAGUUUUGCUUCCAGCAUUUUGUCUGUUUGUCAGAUGGAUGAGAACCUCCAGGGAGCUCUAGCUGGGCUACAUCAAUACAAGAGCACAUUGUUUCUUAGGGCCAAGAAGGACCUUGUAGCCCUUCAGAUUCCCACACAUUUUACUAGCACAACAAAUGUGUACAAUUUACCAGAGGCAUGAAGCUACCUUUGAGUUAGGAUAGGAAACUAACUGGAAAGCGGCCCUCAGUACUGCC